rnacentral:rRNA from 1 species
CAUUAAAGAGUUCUAUAACUCCCAAACCCAUGUGAACAUACCUAACGUUGCCUCGGCAGGUCGCACCUACCUUGUAGCACCCUACCCUGUAGGGCCUACCCGGGAGGUGCGGGUAAGCCUGCCGGCGGCCCACCAAACUCUGUUUGAUAUUGAAUUCUGAACCUAUAACUAAAUAAGUUAAAACUUUCAACAACGGAUCUCUUGGUUCUGGCAUCGAUGAAGAACGCAGCGAAAUGCGAUAAGUAAUGUGAAUUGCAGAAUUCAGUGAAUCAUCGAAUCUUUGAACGCAUAUUGCGCCCAUUAGUAUUCUAGUGGGCAGGACCGUUCGAGCGUCAUUUCAACCCUUAAGCCUUCGUUGCUUAGUGUUGGGAGCCUACGGCAACGUAGCUCCUCAAAGUUAGUGGCGGAGUUGGUUCACACUCUAGACGUAGUAAUUUUUUAUCUCGCCUAUUAGUUGGACUAAUCCCCUGCCGUAAAACCCCCAAUUUAUAUCAAGGUUGACCUCGAAUCGGUUCAGACAAACUCGCUAAAUUGAAGCAUCUUAGUCAGCGAAGGAAAAGAAACCAACAGGGAUUGCCCUAGUAACGGCGAGUGAAGCGGCAACAGCUCAAAUUUGAAAUCUGGCCCUCGGGUCCGAGUUGUAAUUUGUAGAGGAUGCUUUUGGCGCGGUGCCUUCCGAGUUCCCUGGAACGGGACGCCUUAGAGGGUGAGAGCCCCGUACGGUUGGACACCAAGCCUCUGUAAAGCUCCUUCGACGAGUCGAGUAGCUUGGGAAUGCUGCUCUAAAUGGGAGGUAAAUUUCUUCUAAAGCUAAAUAUUGGCCAGAGA